UCUUUGCUAGUAAGUAUAUGAUAUAUCGGUUAGUACAUGCGCCUGUCAUGUGUAACAUGCUGGAUCGCGCGAAAGCUGGGUUCGACUCCCAGGCAAAGAG